GACGAACGCUGGCGGCGUGCUUAACACAUGCAAGUCGAACGGAAAGGCCCUGCUUUUGUGGGGUGCUUGAGUGGCGAACGGGUGAGUAACACGUGAGUAACCUGCCCUUGACUUUGGGAUAACUUCAGGAAACUGGGGCUAAUACCGGAUAGGAGCUCCUGCUGCAUGGUGGGGGUUGGAAAGUUUCGGCGGUUGGGGAUGGACUCGCGGCUUAUCAGCUUGUUGGUGGGGUAGUGGCUUACCAAGGCUUUGACGGGUAGCCGGCCUGAGAGGGUGACCGGCCACAUUAGGACUGAGAUAGGGCCCAGACUCCUACGGGAGGCAGCAGUGGGGAAUAUUGCACAAUGGGGGGGAGCCUGAUGCAGCAACGCCGCGUGCGGAAUAACGGCCUUCGGGUUGUAAACCGCUUUCGCCUGUGACGAAGCGUGAGUGACGGUAAUGGGUAAAGAAGCACCGGCUAACUACGUG
rnacentral:rRNA from 1 species